rnacentral:rRNA from 1 species
UACGUAGGGGGCUAGCGUUGUCCGGAAUCAUUGGGCGUAAAGGGCUCGUAGGCGGCCAACUAAGUCGGAUGUGAAAUCCCCAGGCUCAACUUGGGAACUGCAUCCGAUACUGGAUGGCUUGAAUUCGGGAGAGGGAUGCAGAAUUCCAGGUGUAGCGGUGAAAUGCGUAGAUAUCUGGAGGAAUACCGGUGGCGAAGGCGGCAUCCUGGACCGACAUUGACGCUGAGGAGCGAAAGCUAGGGGAGCAAACGGG